UACGGGGGGGGCAAGCGUUGUUCGGAUUCACUGGGCGUAAAGGGUGCGUAGGCGGCUUGGUAAGUUUGAUGUGAAAUCUCCGGGCUUAACCCGGAAAUGGCAUUGAAUACUAUUGAGCUGGAGGUUUGGAGGGGGGACUGGAAUUCUCGGUGUAGCAGUGAAAUGCGUAGAUAUCGAGAGGAACACCAGUGGCGAAGGCGAGUCCCUGGACAACACCUGACACUGAGGCACGAAAGCUAGGGGAGCAAACGGG
rnacentral:rRNA from 1 species